rnacentral:rRNA from 1 species
UACGUAGGGGGCUAGCGUUGUCCGGAUUUAUUGGGCGUAAAGAGCGUGUAGGCGGCCAGGUAGGUCUGCUGUGAAAACUCGAGGCUCAACCUCGAGACGUCGGCGGAAACCAUCUGGCUAGAGUCCGGAAGAGGAGAGUGGAAUUCCAGGUGUAGCGGUGAAAUGCGCAGAUAUCAGGAAGAACACCCGUGGCGAAGGCGGCUCUCUGGGACGGGACUGACGCUGAGACGCGAAAGCGUGGGGAGCGAACAGG